AUCAUUGUUUCACUUUUUCUUAUUAGUCACACAAGAAAAAUAUCAACCAGUAUUCAUGUUAGAACUACACUCAUUUGUCAAUUAUAAUUAUAGGUUAGUUAUGGAUUUAGUGGUUGGUAAAAAUCAAUGAAAGCUUUCUGUAACACUCAAUUUGCUCUAUGCAAUUUACAAUAUAGACUACUGUAUAUCUUAUUACUACUUGUAAAUUGCUAAACAUCCUUUAUGUCAGUAAAGUUUAUAAUGAAGUCAUAUAUGAUUACGGCUUUUCUCCAGAGGGCCUGUUGUUAUGUAUUUACCAGUGCACCGCUGGGCAGAUUGCCUUAGGCUGAGGAGUGACCAGAGACCAGACUGGACUCUUUGGAAAGAUUCCCAGAAGAGGGAGGGAAUCAUCGAUGGCAAGAAGCUCCCAUCAGUGGAGAGACCAGGGACGGAUACAGACAGCACCAGCAUGCCUGACAGUCCAAGACCGGAGGAGAGAGUGACUGCUGAGGAAGGAGCAGGCAGUGCUUCCUGGGAAAGGGUGAAGCUUGAGGACCCGAUGCCAUGCCCCACUGAAGCAGAACGCCAGAACCAACUGUGGCCGCUGCUCCUAGGAGCCGUGCCAUCAACCCUGCACACCCACCCACCCAUACUGGCCCUGGAACCCGGGCCUCAGCACAGACGGUGGGGCCGGCAGUUAGGGCCUUGCUUGUGGUGGCAAGUGCCCAGAGAGGGUAAGAAGGGAGGGCAUCAUGUCCGUGGCCCACACAGUCGGAGGGGGAGGCAGAGGGCAGGAUGACCCACUUUCAGAGCGGCGUGGCUGUGACUGGGAUUGCUUCACGUGGUCAGUCUGCAUAUACAUGUCAGUCUUAAACUCUUCAAAACGGGCUGUUAAACAUCUGUAUCCUGUUUUCAUUAGCUUGUAAGCCAUGGUGAUGGGGACCUGCCUAGUUCUCUGAGCCAACAAGUGUG
rnacentral:lncRNA from 1 species